UACGGGGGGAGCAAGCGUUGUUCGGAUUUACUGGGCGUAAAGGGCGCGUAGGCGGCACCGCAAGUCGGUUGUGAAAUCUCCGGGCUUAACCCGGAAAGGUCAACCGAUACUGCGGGGCUAGAGUGCAGAAGGGGCAACUGGAAUUCUCGGUGUAGCGGUGAAAUGCGUAGAUAUCGAGAGGAACACCUGCGGCGAAGGCGGGUUGCUGGGCUGACACUGACGCUGAGGCGCGAAAGCUAGGGGAGCGAACGGG
rnacentral:rRNA from 1 species